rnacentral:rRNA from 1 species
UCCGGUUGAUCCUGCCAGAGGUUACUGCUAUCGAGGUUCGACUAAGCCAUGCGAGUCGAAUGUAGCAAUACAUGGCGUACUGCUCAGUAACACGUGGACAACCUGCCCUUAGGUCGGGUAUAAACCCGGGAAACUGGGUAUAAUCCCCGAUAGGUCUCGGCUGCUGGAAUGCAUCGAGAUUAAAAGCUCCGGCGCCUAAGGAUGGGUCUGCGGCCUAUCAGGUAGUAGUGGGUGUAGCGUACCUACUAGCCUACGACGGGUACGGGUUGUGAGAGCAAGAGCCCGGAGAUGGAUUCUGAGACACGAAUCCAGGCCCUACGGGGUGCAGCAGGCGCGAAAACUUUACAAUGCUGGCAACAGCGAUAAGGGAACCUCGAGUGCCAGGUUACAAAUCUGGCUGUCGAGAUGCCUAAAAAGCAUUUCAUAGCAAGGGCCGGGCAAGACCGGUGCCAGCCGCCGCGGUAACACCGGCGGCUCGAGUGGUAACCGUUAUUAUUGGGUCUAAAGGGUCUGUAGCCGGCCGGAUAAGUCUCUUGAGAAAUCUGGCAGCUUAACUGUCAGGCUUUCAGGAGAUACUGUCUGGCUCGAGGCCGGGAGAGGUGAGAGGUACUUCAGGGGUAGGGGUGAAAUCUUGUAAUCCUUGAAGGACCACCAGUGGCGAAGGCGUCUCACCAGAACGGACCUGACGGCAAGGGACGAAAGCUAGGGGCACGAACCGGAUUAGAUACCCGGGUAGUCCUAGCCGUAAACGAUACUCGCUAGGUGUCGGCCACGGUGCGACCGUUGUCGGUGCCGUAGGGAAGCCGUGAAGCGAGCCACCUGGGAAGUACGGCCGCAAGGCUGAAACUUAAAGGAAUUGGCGGGGGAGCACCACAACGGGUGGAGCUUGCGGUUUAAUUGGAUUCAACGCCGGAAAUCUUACCGGGACCGACAGCAAUAUGAAGGCCAGGCUGAAGACUUUGCCGGAUUAGCUGAGAGGUGGUGCAUGGCCGUCGUCAGUUCGUACUGUGAAGCAUCCUGUUAAGUCAGGUAACGAGCGAGACCCA